UUCAGCCCUUGGGAGGGUCUGAGAAAAACCCGCUAAGUGUCCUUGAGGGACUUCGUAUUAACAAAUUCAUAAUUUAUUUAUGAAUAUAUACGAGUGGAUCACCAGAAAGUGAAAAAUUGGAAUAGGAUCUACGGGUGUAAUGCUGGAAGUUCAAUACGCAAGACAUUUAAUAAAAAUUUAUUUUUAUUAAAUGAAACUCAAUUCAGACUACUCUUUAA
rnacentral:RNase_P_RNA from 1 species